GACUCCGUGGCCCAAUGGAUAAGGUGUUGGUCUAUGAAGUCAAAGAUUUUGGGUCUGAUCCCCAAUGGAGUUG
rnacentral:tRNA from 1 species